ensembl:lncRNA
UUUCCCUAUUGGAAGAUAAUGGUGGAAGUGUUAGCUAUUAACAAUACUACAGUAUCACUAUAAUAUUAUUGCAAUAUUAACAUUGCAAUAUAUGAUAAUAAUAUUAUAAUAUAUGAUAAUAAUAUAUAUAUAAUAAUAUUGCAAUAUAUGAUAAUCAAAUCAAUGCAUUAUACACCUUAAACUUACACAAUGUUAUAUGUCAAUGAUACCUCAAUAAGUCUGGACAAAAAGAAGAUAUUGGACUGUUAUGGAAUGAGAAAAGAAUUUUUUUUUGAAAUUAUUAGUAUCUAUCACACUGAAAAAGAGGUUAAAAGGAAUACAAUUAUGGUUCCGCAAACAGAUGCAGAAGACCCAAGUUUGAACCCUGGAUUGGGAAGAUCCACUGGGAGAGAGCAUGGCAACCUACUCCAGUAUUCUUGCCUGGAGAAUCCCAUGGACAGAGGAGCCUGGUGGGCUACGGACCAUAGGGUCACCAAGAGUUGGACAGGACAAGCAACUGAGCAUAGGACAACCAUGGCUUUUCCCAAGCUCCUCUGGGGAGCGCUGGACUUCUGGGCAGUCACAUUACUGUGUGAAGCUGAACUUAUGACAUUAGGAUGCAAUUUAACAAGCCUUGGAGAUGCUGCUUGAGGCCUAUUUGCCAAAGGCAAUUUACUGAAUAAUCAAGUCAACACUGUCAAAGAAAUACAGUAAGCUGGGUCCAGGACAGUCCUCUGCAAAGACAAAGGCAAGGGCAGAGGUGGAGCCCCAGAAACAGCACCCCACAUGGCAGGAGCUGAAUGAACAGACAUUAUUGAAUGAAUGGAUGUCUAUGACUCAGAAGUUGAACUGCAGCACAGAAAAACUGACCCCAUACAAGAAGCGGUCGUCCCUUUAUGGUUCAGGUUAGGAGCAUUGGUUAACAUUUUGGGUUUUCACUUUAGAGAGAAGAAAGCUGAAAGUGUUGAGAAACUUUCAGUGACAUGUUCUGGAAACAGGUAGUCACCAGUUGAUCGUCGUACAUAGUAUGGUUAUAAAGAUCAUUGCUGCAAUGCUGGCCAAGCUCUAGAGCCCCACCUCUCCCUUGUGAAGGAGAUGCCUAUGGCAGCCCUGGUGCCGGUGACAGAGGAACCUCUGAUCUGGGGACGAGAAGAAAGUCAGAGUCAGCUGCAACCAAGAAUACAUCUGUGUUUAUGGAUAUCCUGAUCACUUGAACCUGGCUUCUACACAAAUACAUCACCACUGUUUAUAAGAAAGACGAUAAAAUAGAAGAGAAAAUUCUCCCAGGGCAAAAGUGCUCAAGAUUUAGAGUUAUAAAUCUCAAGUUUCAGAGCCUUGACAAGCAUCAUAGGGCUAAAGGAGAAUUGAAGCCCAUGGAAUAAAGUAGGAUCUCUGCAUGGCAGAGCGAUGGACAAACAGAAGCUGCUUAGCCUUCUUUCCUACAGUCAGACCUUUUCUCGUUUUUUCAUUUUUUAAACUUCGAGUAUCGUAUUUCAGGGGAAUGUGUUUUGAUAUACUGUUUGGUGCUCAGGCAGAAACAAACCUUUCUAAGAUGGCUUUAGGAGAAUGUGCUGCUUACCUGGACUUUCUAACUCUGAGCAUUAGAACCUUGAUUAUAAUGAAGAGAAUUCAGCCUCAUGUAGUUCAGAUCUACACCUCUCUGUUUUUAGGUUAAGUCUAUAAUUACUAAGUUCUUAUUCAUCAUAUCUCAAAAACCUCAAAGUUCAGCCAAAAUACUUGAAAACUGGGUUCUAAAGAAAUAGUUCUCUUAAAUACGCUCUGCAGAAUGCUAACCGAUUUACUUGUCUAAAAGCCGGUGUAGUAGUGAAAAGCAUUGAUUUUGGAAAGAGAAGAUCUGGAUUUAUAUGUUAGCUCUGCUGCUGGGUGAGUUACUUUACCUCUCACUCUCAGCUCCUGUUUCCCCAUCUAUAAAAUAGGGACAUAAAUAUCUUCCUCAAAAUGGUUUUUAAAAAAGAUUGAAGUAUAGUUAAUUUACAAUGUUUCAGGUGUACAGCAAAGUGAUUCAACUAUACAUAUGUACAUAUACACAUAUACAUAUGUAUACAUAUACAUAUACAAAUACAGGCUUCCCAGAUGGCGCUAGUGGUAAAGAAUCUGCCUGCCAAUACAGGAGAUGCAACAGAUGUGGGUUCAGUCCCUGGAUCAAGAAGAUCCCCUGGAGAAGGAAAUGGCAACCCACUUCAGUAUCCUUGCCUGAGAAAUUCCAUAGCUCUAGUCCAUAUGGUCACAAAGACUUGGACAAUACUGAGUGCACAUACACACACACACACACACACAUACAGACAUAUGUGUGUGUCUGUGUGCUCAGUUGCUCAGUCGUGUCCAACUCUGUAGCCCCGUGGGUUAUUAUGAAAUAUUGAAUAUAGUUCCCUGUGCUAUGUAGUAGGACUUGCUGUUUAUUUUAUAUAUAGUAGUAUGUAUCUGUUCAUCUCAAACUUCUAAUUUAU